ensembl:piRNA 21ur-4078 ncRNA
UCUUUGAACUACUUGCACCAA